rnacentral:misc_RNA from 1 species
GACGCCAGCGGCGUCCCGGGAGCGUCUGGAAGUAGUUCGCGCGUUGCGCGCGGUUGCUGUCGAUAAUUUAAUUGUUACGUGUAAUGCGGAGCGCUUACUGUGGCACUUAGGUUAAGCCCCGGAAGUUGUGUGACAUAAUCAAUUUUGGCAUUGCCAUCUACGGACUUGCUCCUUCUGCGAUAAGUUUAAGUGCGGAAGGACACAAUUAGUGUGCUACGCUGAAAGCGGCGAGCGCGUAAGUGAAAAUUGUGCGGUGCGGGUUGUGCUCCUUUUGAAGCCAUAUUAUUUCUUAUCUGCGGUUGUCAAGGUAGGUUGCACCGCGCUUCGCGGCAGCUUAGCAUUUGACAAUGUCUGGCCCAGAAGCAACCCAGAAGAUGGAUGAGUAUCUCAGCUCAUUGGGCUUUUGGAGGAAACAGAUCGCCGCUGAUGGCUCAUGCUUGUUUAGAGUGGUUUCCGAGCACGUGUACAACACGCAAUCGAAACAUGAAGUUGUACGACGAGCGUGUGUGCAGCAUUUACGUGAGAAGAAGUCCAUCUAUGCAAAGUACAUUGAUGGGGACUUCGAGCAAUACAUGUCAAACAUGGAAAAUGUGAAGGUCUGGGGUGGCCAUUUGGAGAUGCAUGCAAUGGCAGAACUGUACAAGAAAGACUUCCUGAUCUUUGAUAGCCCAGGCAAGAGUCCCUACUAUGCAACAGAGAAUCACUUUCAAGAUGUGGUGAUGCUCUGUUACACUCUUGGUAAUCACUAUGAUGUUGUCUACACGAAGGAAAGACUCGGUGCUGCAGCCAUGUGCCAAUCCUUUGUGUACGAGACUCUGUACAAGACAGUUUUUAAAUUUGGAGACGAUGUCGACUUGGCAGUCAAAAAGAUGCUCUAUGACAAGACAUACUUCAAGCACAAGAAGAACAUGACCUUUGAGCAGUGGAAAGAGAGUGUCAAGUUUGGCACAGAGACCAAUGUCCUUUCUGAGGAGGAACAGGCCACUGCUUCUGAGGUUGUGACUGCAUUGGCCAAUCGAAUACCCCCAUUUCCAUUCAAAGUUGCCAAGGCUUUGGACCCGACAAUCUACAGAAAUGUUGAAUAUGACAUCUGGAAUGAGGCAGAGAAAGAGAGAAUCCGCAGUGAACAACUAGUGAUUCCAGAGUUGGAGCCUGGUGUUAAAUGUUUGGUGCGGCUGACUCGCGAAUUAGAAGGCCACAGUGCUUCGUUCCAAGCUCACAUUCAGAAAAUGGAGCCAAACGAAGGACCCAUCACAGUUUUCAUUGAAAAGCUGGGGAAAAUGUGCACAGUCCCAUACAGCAGUGUUCAGGCACUGCCCCUCCCAGCACACAAAGUAUUGACUUGGCGCCAGGGGCCACCAUACAAGCUGCGGGGUUGCCUCUACCAGCACUCACUGCUGUCCAACCUUCAGGAUCUUCAAAAGUCGCAGCGGAGACUUGCACGCAAAGGAAAAGGAAAGGACCUGUCUCUGUGGCUGCCUACAGUAGUCGCUGGAACACGUCUGCCCCUAGACUUCUCUAUUCCAAGGCCUUCAGAUGUCACUUGCUCAUCUCCUCAUUUACUAAGAGGCAACGACAUCUUUACAUCUGACAAGGGGAGGUUUCCUCUGAGCCCCUCAUCACCCAUGGACACCAGCCAAGCAAUUUGGAGCCCUCCUGCAGCACUGUUGCGACCUGGCAGUCCCUGCCCAUUUCCUCGGCCAAUCAUGUACCAAGAGAAACAAAGGUUUGAGAGCCAUGCAGUUUUUGACUUUAAGCCCCAGACUAGUAUGCCAUCCAGCUAUGGUCAGCCCACCACUCAAGAGAUGCCAUUGAAGAAUGAUGAUUCUAGCGUUGUGAGCCCUGGUAUACAAGCCCAGCUCCCAGCAGCUCACCACAUCGAAACGCCAUACUAUGGCAACUUCACCACCACUGUAUUUGACCCAUCUAUCCUGGGUCAACGUGCACACACAGAACCAGGACUCUUGAACACACCACCACCUCCAUCUUACGACUAUGUUUCCACUCCUCCCUUUACUUGUAUGUCCCGACCCUGCGGUUCUUUUACAACAUGGGCUGUGAUUACUUUCGGAUGUACGGCGCCACUCUGCAGCCAUGUGUGUUCCCCUCAGUACAGGGCUACAAUGGGAACUUCAGCCUGACCAUUGUGCCAUACAUGGCUGACUCCAGCAUAGUCGUGCCUGAUAUCAGAUGCACCGUGUCGGAGACUGCACCAAGCACAGACAGUUUCACUGAAGGCCUGAAUGAAGACGGCUCCCUCUCCUCCUCAUUACCUGGCUUUGGCACUGUCCGAAAUGGCAAUAAUUUGGGCACUUCACCAUCCCACAGCUAUGAAAUGAUGUCACCAGCUGUUUCCCAACCUCAGAAGUGAGUGCACUGUUACGAUGUGUGGUAUGGCAGGAGUGUUCUAUGCGUGGUGCACACGCCAAGCUUCCCAGUUCUAGUCAAUCUCUGUAGUUCUCUGGUUCUCUCCUAGUCAUUUGAAAAACUUCUGAGCAGCAAUGUAACAUGCAGUUUUUCCAUACCUGUGAUAAGUAGCAGUGCCACUCUAAGAUGACUGCAGCCAUAUGUCUGUGCCUUGUCACACUUUGGAAUGUGUACAUUCAACACAUGCCACCAGUACUUGACCUGCAUUCAGUAUUUUUUCAUGUGUUCGCAAUUUUUGCAGCGGUGAUAUUUUCUUGACAUGCAUAUUGCAUUUCUCUGCACAUGUGGGUGCAGCGUACAUAAAAGGGAUUGCUGUCCCAGUGCCAAAAGAAAAUGACACUUUAUCGAUAACUAAGAAUCUGCUUUUUUUACGCUUUGGAAAUCUAUGCAGUAGUUCUUGUAUAAUAUAAGAUGCUUUGUUUGAAAGCUUAAUGUUAAUGUCGUCAUUGUUAGUAGGAGUUAUGGCUGACAGCAUUAAGCUUUACUUUUAAUCCCACUGUGAUACCUAAUAGAGACAAUACACUGUUAAUUGCACAUGUUUUGGCACUGUGUAUUCAUCAAAAUUCCUAGUCAAAUGUACCAAUGUACACCUCCAUGCUC